rnacentral:rRNA from 1 species
AUGCACCAUCAUGCAUGCAGCUGGCUGCGGCUUCCAAAGUCCCUUGCAAGGACAAUGGAAGGCAACGAUCACCAGGGUCUAUGGUUGCGGGCGGACGGAUGCUGCAACGGCCCCUCCUGGGUGGCGACGGAGAUCUCCGCCAAUGGAUUCAUAUACUUGUGUCGGGGGUGGAAAUCAUUUGCCUGCUCCCAUGCUAUAAUGCAAGGAUACCUUCUCCAUUUCAGGUACAAUGGAUCCUCCACGCUCUUCCUGAAGUUCUUCGGUGCUUCCGGCGGGCGCUUGGAGUACUGCGUAGAAAGUGAAAGCAGUAGUGACGCCAGCUCCUCCAGCGCGAGCGAGGACGACUACUCUCCCAGCGUUAAGAGUGAGGGCGACAACUCUGCCUAA